rnacentral:rRNA from 1 species
UGGAGAAUCCCGUGAACCAUCGAGUCUCUAAACGCAAGUUGCGCUUGAAGCCAUUAAGCCGAUGACGCACCUGCUUGGGCGUCACACGCCGUUGCCCCCCCGACACUUCCAUUGGAAGCGUCGGUGGGCGGACGAUGGCUUUCAGUGCGUCACCACGCGUGGUUGGCACAAAUGUUUAGUCCCCGGUGAUGAACGCCACGACAAUCGUUGGUUGUCAAACCUCGGUUGCUUGUUGUGCACUUUCACCGAGCUUUGGGCGGUUCACGAUGCUCACUGCUUUGCUUCGGUAGAGCCUUCAACGCGACCCCAGGUCAGGCAGGGUUACCCACUAAA